CGAUCAAUGGCGUGGGCUUGUUAAAUAUUGGAAGUCCAAAAAAGGAAGGGCCCUUGCUGAGAAGAACAUAAUUAGUCGUUCCCUCGUGAAGGAUUCACAUAAUGCUGGCACAAAGAGUUAUGCUUGUUGGGGCGAAGACAUGAGGCAAGCUGAUCCUGAAAAGAAACGACCACACAGAUCAAAGGUUUAUUUAGCAACUCACAAGAAGAAGGACGAUGCUGAUGCUAAAAAUAAAGAUAGAA